CCUACGGGUGGCAGCAGUGAGGAAUAUUGGUCAAUGGACGAGAGUCUGAACCAGCCAAGUAGCGUGAAGGAUGACUGCCCUAUGGGUUGUAAACUUCUUUUAUAGGGGAAUAAAAUGUUCCACGUGUGGGAUUUUGUAUGUACCAUAUGAAUAAGGAUCGGCUAACUCCGUGCCAGCAGCCGCGGUAAUACGGAGGAUCCGAGCGUUAUCCGGAUUUAUUGGGUUUAAAGGGAGCGUAGGUGGAUUGUUAAGUCAGUUGUGAAAGUUUGCGGCUCAACCGUAAAAUUGCAGUUGAAACUGGCAGUCUUUAUUACAGUAGAGGUUGGCGGCAUUCGUGGUGUAGCGGUGCACUUCUUAGAUGUCAC
rnacentral:rRNA from 1 species